rnacentral:tRNA from 2 species
GCCGGGCUGGCGGAAUUGGCAUACGCAGGCGACUUAAAAUCGCUCGGGGGCAACCUCAUCUGGGUUCGAGUCCCAGGCCCGGCA